GAUGAAGAACGCAGCGAAAUGCGAUAACUAAUGUGAAUUGCAGAAUUCCGUGAACCAUCGAAUCUUUGAACGCACAUUGCGCCCGCCAGUAUUCUGGCGGGCAUGCCUGUCCGAGCGUCAUCUCAACCCUCGAGCCCCCCCGGGGGCUCGGCGUUGGGGACCGGCCCCGCCCCAGGGCGCGCCGCCCCCCAAAUACAGUGGCGGUCCCGCCGCAGCCUCCCCUGCGCAGUAGCUUGCACACUCGCACCGGAGAGCGGCGCGGCCACGCCGUAAAACCCCCCGACCACGGAGCCCCGGCUCCUGAACGUUGACCUCGGAUCAGGUAGGAAUACCCGCUGAACUUAAGCAUAUCAAUAAGCGGAGGA
rnacentral:misc_RNA from 1 species